rnacentral:rRNA from 1 species
UACGUAGGAGGCGAGCGUUGUCCGGAUUUACUGGGCGUAAAGCGCGCGCAGGCGGCACACCAAGUAUCGAGUGAAAUCUCCCUGCUCAACGGGGAGGGCUGCUCGGUAAACUGGUGAGCUAGAGGACGGUAGAGGGGGGUGGAAUUGCUGGUGUAGCGGUGAAAUGCGUAGAGAUCAGCAGGAACACCCGUGGCGAAGGCGGCCCCCUGGGCCGACCCUGACGCUGAGGUGCGAAGGCUAGGGGAGCGAACGGG